rnacentral:rRNA from 1 species
UACGAAGGGGGCUAGCGUUGCUCGGAAUCACUGGGCGUAAAGGGUGCGUAGGCGGCCAUGUAAGUGGGGUGUGAAAUCCCUCGGCUCAACCGAGGAACUGCGCUCCAUACUGCAUGGCUUGAGGGAGACAGGGGUAAGCGGAACUGAUGGUGGAGCGGUGAAAUGCGUUGAUAUCAUCAGGAACACCGGUGGCGAAAGCGGCUUACUGGGUCUCUUCUGACGCUGAGGUACGAAAGCUAGGGGAGCGAACGGG